rnacentral:rRNA from 1 species
AUUGAACGCUGGCGGCAGGCCUAACACAUGCAAGUCGAGCGAGCGGCGGACGGGUGAGUAAUGUCUGGGAAACUGACUGAUGGAGGGGGAUAACUACUGGAAACGGUAGCUAAUACCGCAUACCAUCAGCUGUGCCCAGAUGGGAUUGGCUAGUAGGUGGGGUAACGGCUCACCUAGGCGACGAACCCUAGCUGGUCUGAGAGGAUGACCAGCCACACGGGAACUGAGACACGGGCCAGACUCCUACGGGAGGCAGCAGUGGGGAAUAUUGCACAAUGGGCGAAAGCCUGAUACAGCCAUGCCGCGUGUGUGAAGAAGGCCUUCGGGUUGUAAAGGACUUUUGUUAGGGAAGCGGUACCUAACGAAUAAGCACCGGCUAACUACGUGCCAGCAGCCGCGGUAAUAC